GAAUUGCCCUCAGUAGCGGGCGAGUGAAGCGGCAGAGCUCAGAUUUGAAAUCUCACCUAGUGUGCGAGUAGAAAAUUGCAGGUUGGAGUCUCGGGUUAGACGUGUGUGCAAGUCCCUUGGAACAGGGUGCCACUGAGGGUGAGAGCCCCGUAGCGUGCAUGUCGACACCUGUGAGGCCCUUCUGACGAGUCGAGUUGUUUGGGAAUGCAGCUCUAAGUGGGUGGUAAAUUCCAUCUAAGGCUAAAUAUUGGCGAGAGACCGAUAGCGAACAAGUACUGUGAAGGAAAGAUGAAAAGCACUUUGAAAAGAGAGUGAAACAGCACGUGAAAUUGUUGAAAGGGAAGGGUAUUGGGCUCGACAUGGGAUUUACGCAUCGUUGCCUCUCGUGGGCGGCGCUCUGGGUUUUUCCUGGGCCAGCAUCGGUUUUCGUUGCAGGAUAAGGACAAUUGGAAUGUGGCUCCUCGGAGUGUUAUAGCCUUUUGUAGAUGCUGCGUAUGGGGACCGAGGGCUGCGGCGGACUCGUUUCGUCUCGGAUGCUGGCACAACGGCGCAAUACCGCCCGUCUUGAAACACGGAC
rnacentral:rRNA from 1 species